AUGGAGAUCUGAUCUGAUCAGGAGUUUUUAAGGAUAAGACAGACUUAAUGGUACAACGGUAUGAUCACAAUUAUCCUAUAAAGUCCUUAAACACGUUUGGAAAGUUUAUAUACAAUCUUGAUGAAGAUCAAAAGAGAAUCAGAUCACCUUUUAUGAGUUACAAGGAGCGUCCUACGAGUAAUGAAGAAAGAGGAGCGUGCUAGAUCAUUAUAUAUACGAAGACCAAGCUCAAGACUAUUAUCUCAAUUGAAAAAUAUUUGUUCACAUAUUG
rnacentral:lncRNA from 1 species